rnacentral:rRNA from 1 species
GAUGAACGCUGGCGGCGUGCCUAAUACAUGCAAGUCGAGCGAACAGACGAGGAGCUUGCUCCUUUGACGUUAGCGGCGGACGGGUGAGUAACACGUGGAUAACCUACCUAUAAGACUGGGAUAACUUCGGGAAACCGGAGCUAAUACCGGAUAACAUGUUGAACCGCAUGGUUCAACAGUGAAAGACGGUCUUGCUGUCACUUAUAGAUGGAUCUGCGCCGCAUUAGCUAGUUGGUAAGGUAACGGCUUACCAAGGCAACGAUGCGUGGCCGACCUGAGAGGGUGAUCGGCCACACUGGAACUGAGACACGGUCCAGACUCCUACGGGAGGCAGCAGUAGGGAAUCUUCCGCAAUGGGCGAAAGCCUGACGGAGCAACGCCGCGUGAGUGAAGAAGGUCUUCGGAUCGUAAAACUCUGUUAUUAGGGAAGAACAAAUGUGUAAGUAACUAUGCACGUCUUGACGGUACCUAAUCAGAAAGCCACGGCUAACUACGUG